GUGGAGCUGCAGAGACGUGAGGCGAACACGGUGGGGUGAUGUUGUUACUCGGGUAUCACAUAAUGGUGGUGGUGGUGCUGAGCGCUACGCCCCAAGCCGUCCAGGAGGUGAAUGGAUCUAUAGAGGAGGUGGGCUUGGAUGUCGGUGUGCUUGUGGCACAGGUUUUGGAGCACCAUCUCACUGGCUGUCAUCUAGUGCUCGUCACCACUACAUCGCAUUUGCACGUCUCCAUCAGUGUAUUCAGACACAUGGGUGUGGGUGUGGCGGCUGGCGUGGUAGUGGAGGCAGGGUGGGUGUUGUCCCAGGACCAGCUGGUCCAGGACCACCUCCUGCAGGGGCUGUGGGGAGACACCAGAACCACCUGCCGGGCCCUCAUCCUUGAUCUCACUGCCAAAACCAGCACUGACGUCGUUC